CUCGCCGGAGGACGGCGGCACCGUCUGCGCCGUCUCCAUCCUCCCCGAAAGCCCCCCGCAGGGUGGGCUGCUGGCUUGCCACGUGGGGCCCAACAGCACCGCUCCGGCACGCAGCUCCAGCCCCAUCCCCGUCACAGGAAGGGGUUUGUGGCCGGCCCCAAUGUGCACCUGCAGCCACCUCCCCAGCUGCUCCCCGUCCCGCAGGCAGAGGUGAGGAGGCAGAGCUGUGCCCCAGCACCGUGAUCGGGCCUCGUGCCUGUGGCUCCGCCGCCCUGC